rnacentral:lncRNA from 1 species
UGGAGAAGAUCAUCUUGAGCUUCAGAAAUAACUUUAAUAAGUUUGGGGAGCAUAGGUAAAAGGCCAGCAUCCUUGGGAAGGUUGAUGCCAACGUCAAAGAGAUCUUCUAUUGACUUGAAGUGUGGGAAGGGCGAUUUGGGAUCCAGCAGAAUAGACUCGACCUGUGUGAACACGGAUGGAAGAGCUGCCAAGAUGGCCUUGCCCGUGAAUGCCGUUCCCUUGGUUGUGGAGAACUCCUCGUCUCUGGGGACAUA